GGUUAAGCGACUAAGCGUACACGGUGGAUGCCCUGGCAGUCAGAGGCGAUGAAGGGCGUGCUAAUCUGCGAUAAGCGCCGGUAAGGUGAUA
rnacentral:rRNA from 9 species